GAUGAACUCUUGCGGCGUGCUUAACACAUGCAAGUCUAACGAUGACGCCCAGCUUGCUUGGUGGGUUAGUGGCUAACGGGUUAGUAACUCGUGAGUAACCUGCCCUUAACUCUUGGAUAAGCCUGGUUAACUGGGUCUAAUUCCUGAUAGUAGCGCCUCCCGCCUGGUGGGUGUUGGGCAGAUUUCUCGGUUUUGGAUGGACUCGCGGCCUAUCAGCUUGUUGGUGGGGUAAUGGCUCACCAAGGCGACGACGGGUAGCCGUCCUGAGAGGGUGACCGGCCACACUGGGACUGAGACACGGCCCAGACGCGUACGGGAGGCAGCAGUGGGGAGUAUUGCACAAUGGGCGAAAGCCUGAUGCAGCGACGCCGCGUGAGGGAUGACGGCCUUCGGGGUGUAAACAGCUGUCAGUAGGGAAGAAGCGAAAGUGACGGUACCUGCAGAAGAAGCACCGGCUAACUACGUG
rnacentral:rRNA from 1 species